rnacentral:misc_RNA from 1 species
UUUCCGUAGGUGAACCUGCGGAAGGAUCAUUAUCGUACAACUGAGGUGCGAAGGCUGUCGCUGACCUUCAAAGGUCGUGCACGCCCGAGUGCUCUCACAUCCAUCUCACCCCUAUGUGCACCACCGCGUGGGUCCCCCUUUGGCUUGUUCGGAGGGGGGCUUACGUUUUCACACAAACUUUGUAUGCAGUGUAGAAUGUAUUUUUUGUUUUUGCGAUCACGCAAUCAAUACAACUUUCAACAACGGAUCUCUUGGCUCUC